UACUGUACACGGAAGAGACGUUUACAAUAUCAAUUAACAGUUUGAAAUUUAAGUGUCUAUAGAUGAGAUAAUCAAUGAGAUUAGCGGUUUGUGAUUAAAAAGAAUAUGAUUGAAUGUGUCAAUAUUCCUUUCAAUUUAUUAUUUUGGAUUGAUGCAAAUCAAAGACAGACGACCAAUGUGUUAACAACAGACACUUUCCGAUAGGUACGGAUAAUCCUGAAACAAAGGGUGGGCAUUUAGAUUGAUGGGGGAAAUAAUGCAUCCAUCCAACACAAAUGAGUAUGCAAGAGAUCACCAGAACUCAACUUGACCGAAGAAUAAUGAUUAAAAUGAAAUGUUCUUGUGAAACUGCCAAAAAUAAAUAAUGUAUUUUCAAUGUUUUUAACUUGUAUAAAAUGAUGCAUAAAUGUGAUACUUUCAAUAAAUAAAUCAUCUUUUUGUUGAAUAAAAUUCAUGUAAAUUGG